rnacentral:rRNA from 1 species
AUUGAACGCUGGCGGCAGGCUUAACACAUGCAAGUCGAGCGGGGUGAUGGUGCUUGCUCUAUCACUUAGCGGCGGACGGGUGAGUAAUGCUUAGGAAUCUGCCUAUUAGUGGGGGACAACAUCUCGAAAGGGAUGCUAAUACCGCAUACGUCCUACGGGAGAAAGCAGGGGAUCACUUGUGACCUGGCGCUCAUAGAUGAGCAUAAGUCGGAUUAGCUAGUUGGUGGGGUAAAGGCCUACCAAGGCGACGAUCUGUAGCGGGUCUGAGAGGAGGAUCCGCCACACUGGGACUGGGACACGGCCCAGACUCCUACGGGAGGCAGCAGUGGGGAAUAUUGGACAAUGGGGGGAACCCUGAUCCAGCCAUGCCGCGUGUGUGAAGAAGGCCUUAUGGUUGUAAAGCACUUUAAGCGAGGAGGAGGCUCUUUUGGUUAAUACCCAAGAUGAGUGGACGUUACUCGCAGAAUAAGCACCGGCUAACUCUGUGCCAGCCGCCGCCGUAA